CAGGCCUAGAGCAGGCUGUGAGGGAGAGGGGCACCGUCAAGCGCCAGGAGGGGGAGCAGAGCGCUAUGCUGUCAGGGGCCCAGGAGGAUUCGACUGCUUUCCCCUUGGACCGUGGAAGGCCAUAUGUGGCAUAGCUGAAUUGGGAUUUUCUCCUCUUUAUUCUAAGUUCCUUCAGUUUUCCCAAACCUAGCAAAAUCCAUGUUAUUAUUAAUUAUUAUCAGUGUUAAUUUAGUAACACUAAACACUGUUUAUUAGUAAAACUAACACCAGCAAAGCCUUUGCGUGCUAGAACUUCUGAGCAUUUUCCAUGGACUGCCCCAUUGGAACCCCAUAACCUCACGGACUACCUUUAUCACUAUUGUCCCUGUUUCACAGAUGGAAAAGCUGAGACACAGAGAAGUUCCUUGAGUUGCCUGAGAUCACAGAGCAGCAGGGCCAGGACCCGGUCCCAGGAAGUUCCACUGCAGGCCCGGCUCUAACCCUCAUCACUGUGGUGGUGGCCUUCAGUUUGAGUUGGGUCAGAAUGAUCAGGUCAUCAUUUUAUAAACCAGAGAAGAAAAUCGUUUCCAUUAAUGCUGAAUAUUGGUGCCACUGAAGUUAUAAUACCCUGUUGCUGAUGCCACUGUAGAAGGCUAUGUUGU
rnacentral:lncRNA from 10 species